rnacentral:lncRNA from 1 species
GGCUACCCCUACUCAUUUUUAAGUGGAAGAUCGAACAAUUAUAUACGAAUAGUGAUAUUAGAGUCCGUAAAUAUGGACUCGAGCCUACCCCUCACUUUGGUGAGAGCGUGACUUUACGGCCGAGUGGUUAUGCAUAUAUAUGGCUGAGGUUGACUACAGAGUUGGCGGAGAAAAUACAGUUCAAACAUCACAUAAAGAAGUCAUUACUAUUGAUGGAUGCAAGAGGAUCAUUUAACGUAGCUAGCCUAGACCCCAAUAACUUUCAUGAUCAAGGCCAACUUUCAAGAACCAGGCCGUAUACUACAAUUAAUAACAGAGCGAAGAAUAAAUCCAGCACGCGUGAAGCAUUAGUAAAAAUUUGAAGUUUCAACAUCAAUAUUCCCCUACGCAAUUUUAAUUGUGGAUUGCACAUAGUAUUGAAAUAAUUUCCUGAAUAGCAAUUGGAUAUCUGAGUGAAGAGGAAGAGCGAGUCCCAUUUCUUGUUUGUAUUGCUUAUACACAACAUUGAGGAAUUGAUAAUGGCGUAUAAGUUGUCCUUCGACUCCUCCUCACCCCCUGAACAGUAUUUUCUGCAACAUGAUUUCUAUAGAAUCACAAAGGCACGUUUUGUGAUUUGGUAGUUGCUGAGGUCCGACCUGAAAUAAAAUGCCAGAGUAUUUAUUUUUAAUAGCUAGUGUCAUACUCAACAUGGAUAACUUGAUAUUGAAACAGCCCAUAAGGCAAGCUCUUUCUCUCACCUUUCAGAAGCCAUUUUCUGCAACAUGAUUUCUGAAAUUGUAUGUAAUAUGAUAAAUUGCUAGAUGCUAAGUUUGUACCUGAAGUUAGAACCACAGAAGAAAAUGAACCUUUUAUUCAAAAUGUGUUUCUGAUACCCUCUGCUAGAAACAAAAGCAUUAAGAUUGGUGGGUAUCUGAUGAUACUUACCUAGCAUUGAAAAGGCUCGAAGUUGUAUGUAUCAACUUCGUUAAUUGUUUGGACAGAGAAAUCAGGGUCAAGACUCAUCUUGUUCAGAAGAUUGAUGGUAAUUUCUUCAUCUUACAAGAUAUCCCUUCUCUGAUUUGAAGUGCUAGAGCCUUAGGUAGCCUUCUCUCCGAUUCUGUUUUCAUAAGAAAAAUUUCGCCCUGCAUUUACAGAGAAGAUGGGGUGACCAAUUUAUUUUUAUACACACAAACUUGAUGAUGGUCGGUAUCUGGGCUGAGUUGGAGUGAUUAACCGCGUGAGAAUUUUGAAUUUUCCUUUGACGACGUUUAAGGAGAGAUCCGUUUCCUUUAACAUCGUGCAGCCAGCUUUCCACUAAAGAGUUGUCUCCUUUGCGAAGUAGUGAAGUGAAGAUGGAGAACAAGGACACGUGUCCCCUUCCUUAAGAAGUAGUUAUUUGGCCCAGCUAUAGCCUGAUACGUU